rnacentral:rRNA from 1 species
CCUACGGGUGGCAGCAGUGGGGAAUAUUGGACAAUGGGCGAAAGCCUGAUCCAGCCAUGCCGCGUGUGUGAAGAAGGCCUUCGGGUUGUAAAGCACUUUCAGUGGGGAAGAAAGCCUUGGGGCUAAUACCCUCGAGGAAGGACAUCACCCACAGAAGAAGCACCGGCUAACUCCGUGCCAGCAGCCGCGGUAAUACGGAGGGUGCGAGCGUUAAUCGGAAUUACUGGGCGUAAAGCGCGCGUAGGCGGUCUGAUAAGCCGGUUGUGAAAGCCCCGGGCUCAACCUGGGAACGGCAUCCGGAACUGUCAGGCUAGAGUGCAGGAGAGGAAGGUAGAAGUCCCGGUGUAGCGGUGAAAUGCGUAGAGAUCGGGAGGAAUACCAGUGGCGAAGGCGGCCUUCUGGACUGACACUGACGCUGAGGUGCGAAAGCGUGGGUAGCAAACAGGAUUAGAUACCCGGUAGUC